GGGGAAUAUUGCACAAUGGGGGAAACCCUGAUGCAGCGACGCCGCGUGGAGGAAGAAGGCCUUCGGGUUGUAAACUCCUGUCCGAGGGGACGAUAAUGACGGUACCCUUGGAGGAAGCACCGGCUAACUACGUGCCAGCAGCCGCGGUAAUACGGAGGAUGCGAGCGUUAUCCGGAUUUAUUGGGUUUAAAGGGUGCGUAGGCGGGCUGUUAAGUCAGCGGUCAAAUGUCGGGGCUCAACCCCGGCCUGCCGUUGAAACUGGCGGUCUUGAGUGAGCGAGAAGUAUGCGGAAUGCGUGGUGUAGCGGUGAAAUGCAUAGAUAUCACGCAGAACUCCGAUUGCGAAGGCAGCAUACCGGCGCUCAACUGACGCUGAGGCACGAAAGCGUGGGGAUCGAACAGG
rnacentral:rRNA from 1 species